GCCCCGCAUCAAGAGACAGGACUUCGGUCCUCGCCAACCUGCCGACUCGGGUAAGGUGGUCGCCGCUAAGAGCGGGAUGUGGCUGAUUCAGGCAAAAAAACGAGCUAAAAAUCAGCAACUUAGUAGUAACGAGC
rnacentral:ncRNA from 1 species